rnacentral:rRNA from 1 species
GGGAGGCAGCAGUGGGGAAUAUUGCACAAUGGGCGAAAGCCUGAUGCAGCGACGCCGCGUGAGGGAUGACGGCCUUCGGGUUGUAAACCUCUUUCAGCAGGGAAGAAGCGAAAGUGACGGUACCUGCAGAAGAAGCGCCGGCUAACUACGUGCCAGCAGCCGCGGUAAUACGUAGGGCGCAAGCGUUGUCCGGAAUUAUUGGGCGUAAAGAGCUCGUAGGCGGCUUGUCACGUCGAUUGUGAAAGCUCGGGGCUUAACCCCGAGUCUGCAGUCGAUACGGGCUAGCUAGAGUGUGGUAGGGGAGAUCGGAAUUCCUGGUGUAGCGGUGAAAUGCGCAGAUAUCAGGAGGAACACCGGUGGCGAAAGGCGGAUCUCUGGGCCAUUACUGACGCUGAGGAGCGAAAGCGUGGGGAGCGAACAGGAUUAGAUACCCUGGUAGUCCACGCCGUAAACGGUGGGAACUAGGUGUUGGCGACAUUCCACGUCGUCGGUGCCGCAGCUAACGCAUUAAGUUCCCCGCCUGGGGAGUACGGCCGCAAGGCU